UGGGAGCUUGCUCCCGUUCAUUAGCGGCGGACGGGUGAGUAACACGUGGGCAACCUGCCUGUAAGACUGGGAUAACUUCGGGAAACCGGAGCUAAUACCGGAUACGUUCUUCUCUCGCAUGGGAGAAGAUGGAAAGAUGGUUUCGGCUAUCACUUACAGAUGGGCCCGCGGCGCAUUAGCUAGUUGGUGGGGUAAUGGCCCACCAAGGCGACGAUGCGUAGCCGACCUGAGAGGGUGAUCGGCCACACUGGGACUGAGACACGGCCCAGACUCCUACGGGAGGCAGCAGUAGGGAAUCUUCCGCAAUGGACGAAAGUCUGACGGAGCAACGCCGCGUGAACGAUGAAGGCUUUCGGGUCGUAAAGUUCUGUUGUUAGGGAAGAA
rnacentral:rRNA from 1 species